AACGGCGAGUGAAGCGGCAACAGCUCAAAUUUGAAAUCUGGCCUCACGGUCCGAAUUGUAAUUUGUAGAGGAUGUUUCUGGCGACGUGUCUUCCGAGUUCCCUGGAACGGGACGCCAUAGAGGGUGAGAGCCCCGUCCGGUCGUACACCUAGCCUCUGUGAAACUCCUUCGACGAGUCGAGUAGUUUGGGAAUGCUGCUCUAAAUGGGAGGUAUACGUCUUCUAAAGCUAAAUACCGGCCAGAGACCGAUAGCGCACAAGUAGAGUGAUCGAAAGAUGAAAAGCACUUUGAAAAGAGGGUUAAAUAGUACGUGAAAUUGCUGAAAGGGAAGCGCUUAUGACCAGACUUGGGCUCGGUGAAUCAUCCGGCGUUCUCGCCGGUGCACUUUGCCGUCCCAGGCCAGCAUCAGUUCGCGCCGGGGGAUAAAGGUUUCGGGAAUGUAGCUCCCUCGGGAGUGUUAUAGCCCGUUGCGUAAUACCCUGGCGUGGACUGAGGUCCGCGCUCUGCAAGGAUGCUGGCGUAAUGGUCAUCAGUGACCCGUCUUGAAACACGGACCAAGGAGUCGUCUUCGUAUGCGAGUGUUCGGGUGUCAAACCCCUACGCGUAAUGAAAGUGAACGUAGGAGAGAGCUUCGGCGCAUCUCCGACCGAUCCUGAUGUUCUCGGAUGGAUUUGAGUAAGAGCAUACGGGGCCGGACCCGAAAGAAGGUGAACUAUGCCUGUAUAGGGUGAAGCCAGAGGAAACUCUGGUGGAGGCUCGCAGCGGUUCUGACGUGCAAAUCGAUCGUCAAAUAUGGGCAUGGGGGCGAAAGACUAAUCGAACCUUCUAGUAGCUGGUUUCCGCCGAAGUUUCCCUCAGGAUAGCAGUGUUGAACUCAGUUUUAUGAGGUAAAGCGAAUGAUUAGGGACCCGGGGGCGCUUUUUAGCCUUCAUCCAUUCUCAAACUUUAAAUAUGUAAGAAGCCCUUGUUGCUUAGUUGAACGUGGGCAUUCGAAUGUAUCAACA
rnacentral:rRNA from 1 species